rnacentral:tRNA from 1 species
UCCUCCGUGGCGCAAUUGGCUAGCGCGUUCGACUGUUAUACAUAGCAAAUCGAGAGGUUGAAAGUUCGAGCCUUUCCGGGGGAG